GUUUUAUUGGAACACGAUGGUAACACAAACAUGGAUUUGGGGUCCCACCACAGAUGUUCCUCCUCCAGGCAGCAUGCACCCCACUUCUGCAGCCAGCAGAGGCUCCAGGAGGCCUGCAGAAGGUGGAGGCAGCCCAGAGACAGACGUGGAGGCGUCUUCUGCAGUGGCGGGUGGUGCGUGGGCCCCUCGGGCCAGAGCUCUGACCAGCUGAGUCUGUGAACAGCCAGACUGGUUUGUUUUCACUUGAGGUCAUGUGGCCGUGACUGAGAGACCUGCCUGCCUCAGACUCCUGGGAAAACUUCCAAGGAGGGGGAUUCUGGGGAUUCCAGAAGGAAUUCAGCCAAGAGACUAAGCACCUCUGGGGGGAUCACCAGGGCAAAUCAUGCCUUUAGGUUUAUUGGCAGAUACACUGCUGAAAGCAUCUGUUUUGGCCACUCUCUGCACUCUCUUUUCUCUGAUCAUUCAUCCAACACAUAUUUAUUAAGCUCCUACCAUGUGACAAACUCUCCUCUAGGGGUUAGACAGACAACGGUCACCAGAAACAGACAGGACCCACAGCCUGGUGAGGAGGAGAGACAGACAACGUUCAAGGAAUCACGCAAACAGCCAUGCCAGUGCCUUCCAAGGAGAGCUCUGAGGGGUGUGGCAGGGGGCCUGGUUUGGUGUGGAGGGUCAAGGAAGACUUCCUCAAGGAAGUGACAUUUCAGGGCACUAAAAUGAGCAGGAGGAGCCUUUCCUCACGGAAACAGCUUUGAGCAUGGAAUGGGCAGAGUGAGUUAAUCAAACUAAAAGGAAAAGAACAGCAGGGCCAGAGUGAAGUGACGGAGGAGGCCUGGCGCAGGGGGAGGCUGGAGAGGGCCCAGCAGGGUCCCAGCACACAGGGCCUGAGGGCUGGGCUGAAGAUGGUUUUAUCUACCUGUGUGGCAUGACCUGGGUUGCAUCUGGCAUGGCCCACUCUGGCUGUCAGGUAGGGGGUGGACUGGGUGGGGGCGAGAGUGCUGAGAAGAGGUGUUCCAACUGUCCUGAUGGAGACAAUGGUGGUCGGAUGGAGUGACACAGAGUAGAUGGGGAGAAGCCAGCAGACAGUGGAGCCAGGGCUCCAUGAGGACUGAGGCAAACGGAGGUGGCAAGGUGGACCCUCAGCCUGUGAAGCCCGGGCAGGCUUUGGUCUGAGAAAGGGACCUGGGGAGCAGAGCAGGUGCAGGGAGAAGGCAGGCACGCAGCUGCAGGCACGCAGCUGCAGACACGCUGAGGGAGAGCGCCUCUGAAACUCCCAGGUGGAGGUGUUGCGGAGGCGGCAGUGGGUCUCAAGCUCCCGGAAGGAGCCAAGCCUGCAGUUAUAAAUCUGUGAGUGAUUUCAUAACCAAACCUCGUGCCUUGUAACUGGAGUUGUGGGUGCAGACGAGGUCACAGGAGGAGAGAUGCUGAGUGAGAAGAGAGGACUCUGGACUGAGACUGAGGAACAGCCACAUCUGAUGGCAGGUACUAGUAACAUCCCCUUUGACAAGUGAAGAAACCGAGGCUUGGCAAGGUUAAUCAGCGUGCCCAAGGUCAGCCAGCUCCCUGAAGUCUGACUCUACCAGCCUCAACCGUUACCAGGGCGGCGAUGGUCAGCAGUCACAAUUACCAGGGGCUGCAGGAGAUCGUCAAAAUCUCGCAGAGCCUACGAUGAAGAAGACACAAGAGUUUGAGAGAGAGGAAGUCACUCGCUCCAGGUCAGCCAGCCAGCAAAUUGGGGAGAUUCAGCAUGAGAAGGAGAAGUUCCUUGAAUCCUCUGGGCACUGGGGACAGCCAGUCCACCCACCCUGGGUAACAAAGGGAUGUGGUCAGUCCUCACGUGAGGAGGGACUGAGUGUCCUCCAUGGACCUGCGACGUCCCGUCUGUGAGGCCCUCGCUACUUUCUGCAAAUUUCUACAUGGAUCAGAGACAGGAGAAGCAGGCACACUGAUGGUUGUCUAGCACCACGUGCCAGUUUUUGGCAGUCGGGACCACCUCGACUUCCUGUCUCCAGGCAGGGUGGGGAGGGAAUGGUCCUUAUGCCCCAGGAGAGCCUCAAGGGCUGUGCACACCCUGCAAUGCAGGCACACCCCCUUCCACCCUCUGAAUGCUCUGCCACAAACAGCCACUGCGAGCGUAAUGAAGCCCCCAAAACAGGGAGCCCUGUGACUCACCACUGCUGCUUCAGGGACAGGGACAACUGCCAGAAUUCUUAGCUCUCUUUUACAGAUGGGGAAAUUGGGACUCAGAGAGGGAUGCGAUCUCUCCAAGCUCACACAGCCAAUCUGUGGCAGGGGAAUGAGAAAGUCUGGUCUGGUCUCCUCUCCCCAUGGCUGGGGCUCUCUCUGCAGUCCCGCCCUAUGCCCAGCCUGCACCCUCACCUGCCCCUGGCUCCUGGACUGGCAACUCAAGUCGUGACACGGACACGCUUUACCGAAUUUGCCUCCACACUUUGAGCGACUCAUUAGUAUAAAAAACACGUUCCUCACCACCCUUGCCAGAAGAUUCUUGACACAACACAGUUGGGGGGUUGGCACGCUCUCUCCGUUGUUAAGUAUUUAUAUAUAGUUAGUAUUGGAAUGGUCCCCGGACACCGAUCCAAGUCUCCCGUUUUCAGAUGGGGGGCACCAGGCUUAGGGUCAGGACCCCCCUGGAACAAUUCAGUAGCACAGCUGAGACAUAAAUCCACAGAGCCUGCCCUGAACUUUCCAGCUGCUCCUUGGCAAAUGGGCCAUGGGGAAAAAAAAUAAAUAAAGGCUGCCACUUACUAAGCAUUUGCUCUGUGCCAGGCACUUUGCAUAAAUCGGUGCUAAAUCUUAUCCUAAUUCUCUCAGGGAGGCAUUUUUAUCCCCAUUUUGCAGAUGAGCAAGCUGAGGCUCAGAGAGGGCAAGCCACCUGCCCAAGGUCACAGAGCCAGGGGCUGGAAAUGGCACACAUUUCUUCCCCCACGCCAGGGUUGGCAAAUGAUAGCCCAUAGGCAAAUUGAG
rnacentral:lncRNA from 1 species